rnacentral:rRNA from 1 species
UACAGAGGUGCCAAGCGUUAGGCGGAAUCACUGGGCUUAAAGCGCGUGUAGGCGGGUCGUUAAGUGUCUUGUGAAAUCCCACGGCUCAACCGUGGAACUGCUGGGCAUACUGACGAUCUUGAGGCACUUCAGGGGCUGUCGGAACAAAUGGUGGAGCGGUGAAAUGCGUAGAUAUCAUUUGGAACGCCAACGGUGAAAACAGACAGCUGGGGGUGUCCUGACGCUGAGACGCGAAAGCCAGGGGAGCGAACGGG